GUUAUAUGUGACGUCGUCUUUGAAAACCGGUCCAGAUGCGGCAUGACGUAAUAUCGAGAAACGACGUUUAAAGUUGCGCCAAGUUUACGCGCGCAGCUUUCUUACACAUGUUUUAAUUAGCAAAAGUUUGACCGUUUAAGUACGACUGCCUGUUACAUGAUUGAUGACAGCCUACUACAGAAAGAAUAUUUAGACAUCAGACCUGUAAAAAAAUAGUGGUAUUACGCCUGAGGCAAAAUAAUUCUUUGAAAAUCAGUUGUUUCCCCUUCGCUAUGUUUCCGGUUUCGGACAGGGAAGCAUGUGAUGUUUACUUUUGUUUAACUACCUUUUGUUCAACGAUGAAGGGAUCUGAGACUUGUAAUACUGUUUACUGAUUUGAUGAUAUUCCUUGUUCCUUUGAUGGUUCAUUCCACUAUACAGCUGGUUCAUAUACCAUACAACAGCCAGGAAAUUGGCCUGUUUACUUUAAGAUCCCAAGAAAAUGUAACAUAUUUUGGAUGUGCUUUGAGGAAUCAGGAAUGGAAGUGUUUCCUCUUGUUUAUGAAGCAACUCAGUUGGUUAAGGGGCAGACAACUUGUGAGCAUGGUACAUCACUACCUGUAUUGGUAUUCCAUUUUGACAAUGUUACUAGCUAGAAUAGAAAUAACAUCUUGCUGUGGUACAGUCUGUGGAGAUUUUUACUAGGUAACAACCAUUUUUGAUAGCUGUUAAAACAGUGUAUACUUUUAACCCUUAGGCUGCAUGAGGCAGCUAUGUCUGUCUUUGCAACCAGUGCAGAUCAAGAUCAACCUGCACAUCUGUGCAGUCUGAUCAUGAUCUGCAGUGUUUGAUA